AGUCUUGUGGUGUACAGCACAUAAAAUUGCAAAUUUUAAAGCGAAAUUAAUUUCUUCCAGGGCUU
rnacentral:tRNA from 1 species